UGGGGAAUUUUGGACAAUGGGGGAAACCCUGAUCCAGCCAUCCCGCGUGUGCGAUGAAGGCCUUCGGGUUGUAAAGCACUUUUGGCAGGAAAGAAACGUCAUGGGUUAAUACCCCGUGAAACUGACGGUACCUGCAGAAUAAGCACCGGCUAACUACGUGCCAGCAGCCGCGGUAAUACGUAGGGUGCAAGCGUUAAUCGGAAUUACUGGGCGUAAAGCGUGCGCAGGCGGUUCGGAAAGAAAGAUGUGAAAUCCCAGAGCUCAACUUUGGAACUGCAUUUUUAACUACCGGGCUAGAGUGUGUCAGAGGGAGGUGGAAUUCCGCGUGUAGCAGUGAAAUGCGUAGAUAUGAGGAGGAACACCGAUGGCGAAGGCAGCCUCCUGGGAUAACACUGACGCUCAUGCACGAAAGCGUGGGGAGCAAACAGG
rnacentral:rRNA from 1 species